AGUGUUAUUUGGAGGUGCAAGUGGUAAAGGAAUUCACUACCACACUGCUUAUUCCAUAGGCAUUUUCUUCAUUAAAAAAGAGAGAAGAUGAAAGGAUGAGCAAACCCAAAUCUAAACAGCAGCAACCAAACAAGGCUUCAGAAGCUACAGAAGUGAAGACAAGUCUCACAUGUCAGACUCGUACUGUGUACUAAGAAGCCUCUGGGGGAAGCUGAGACAGACGUGUGAACUGAGAAACCCUGGGCAAAGGCAAAUAUGAGAAAUUUUCUCCUUCCCCAGUACACAUUAUUAGGAUUUCAAACUUCUUCAGAUUCAUCUUUUUGCUUUGCUUAAAACUAGUAACUCAAAAUACAGUUUCUCAGAUAACAGGCUAUAUGGAGGUUAACUUCUCCCUUAAAUUAUUCUCCUUGAAGUAGUUAAACAUUCAUUGGAGAAAGCAGGUGACUACAGAAUCUAGAAAAUAACAUUGUUGAGAUUCAGGAGAUCUAGACUGAAACAUUUUCCUCAGUCCCAGGUGAAUGGCCUAGAUCCCCAGUCUUUGUUUCUAGCCUUGGAUUUGUUACUACAGUCCAAGAUUCCACUGUACAGUGAAGGAGCCAUUGUGUCUUCUACAGAGAAAAUGCCACAUUCUCAGUCUUAGAGACUUUAUCUCUACUGAAUCCCUU